AGUGAACGCUGGCGGUAGGCCUAACACAUGCAAGUCGAACGGCAGCACAGUAAGAGCUUGCUCUUACGGGUGGCGAGUGGCGGACGGGUGAGGAAUACAUCGGAAUCUACUUUUUCGUGGGGGAUAACGUAGGGAAACUUACGCUAAUACCGCAUACGACCUACGGGUGAAAGCAGGGGAUCUUCGGACCUUGCGCGAUUGAAUGAGCCGAUGUCGGAUUAGCUAGUUGGCGGGGUAAAGGCCCACCAAGGCGACGAUCCGUAGCUGGUCUGAGAGGAUGAUCAGGCACAGUGGAACUGAGACACGGUCCAGACUACUACGGGAGGCAGCAGUGGGGAAUAUUGGACAAUGGGAGAAAGUCUGAUCCAGCCAUGCAGCGUGUGUGAAGAAGGUCUUCGGAUUGUAAAGCACUUUAAGUUGGGAGGAAGGGCAGUAAGUUAAUACCUUGCUGUUUUGACGUUAACAACAGAAUAAGCAACGGCUAACUUCGUG
rnacentral:rRNA from 1 species